AUGUAUCUGAUUACUCUGUCAAGGUUGGGACCGGAAAAUGACCUAUUGCACCGUGUCAAUUGUCCUUUGCAGAAGCCUUUACUGUUAAUCAAGAGGGGAAGAUUAGAGGAGAUCAGAACUACCAGCCUGAAGAACGCUUUGCAUUUGACUACACCUUUCUACCAGCAUGUUUUUCUGCUGAAAUCUCUGCAGGGAGAAGUUCUCCAGGUAAAUGAAGAGCUGCUUCAACUCAGAGGCACAAUGACCAAAGCACUUGGCAGUGGGCAUGAAAACGGAGACUGAACAUUAAGAGACUGGUAAGAAAUGCAGCCAUCAGCAAGAUGCUCCAAGUAGGAGUGUUGGGACCGGAGAGCAUUCUCACCCCACCAGGGCUGACGUGGAUGAUGGAUGUGAUUCCAGAAGGGAAGCGCAUGGGAAGGUCCUUGCAGAGAGAUUCCCCAGGAGGUGGCAGGAAGACAGUUAGGAUGCAGAGACGAGCUAACGCAGUCGGAGAGGAUAUUAGUAAGUCGCAAAGGGCUUGAUUCCUUAGGAAGGGAUAUCCUUAUAUCUAUGCAAACGAG
rnacentral:lncRNA from 1 species